rnacentral:rRNA from 1 species
GAUGAACGCUGGCGGCGUGCCUAAUACAUGCAAGUCGAGCGAACGGACGAGAAGCUUGCUUCUCUGAUGUUAGCGGCGGACGGGUGAGUAACACGUGGAUAACCUACCUAUAAGACUGGGAUAACUUCGGGAAACCGGAGCUAAUACCGGAUAAUAUUUUGAACCGCAUGGUUCAAAAGUGAAAGACGGUCUUGCUGUCACUUAUAGAUGGAUCCGCGCUGCAUUAGCUAGUUGGUAAGGUAACGGCUUACCAAGGCAACGAUGCAUAGCCGACCUGAGAGGGGGAUCGGCCACCCUGGACCUGAGACCGGGUCCAGACUCCUACGGAAGGCAGCAGUGGGAAAUCUUCCGCAAUGGGCGAAAGCCUGACGGAGCAACGCCGCGUGAGUGAUGAAGGUCUUCGGAUCGUAAAACUCUGUUAUUAGGGAAGAACAUAGGUGGAAGUAACUGUGCACAUCUGGACGGUACCUAAUCAGAAGGCCACGGCUAACUACGU